rnacentral:lncRNA from 1 species
AUAUUUUGGACUUUAAAGAUGCCGUUGUUCUUUGUCGAUUUCGAACGACCAAUAACAAAUUGCCGAUUGAAACAGGAAGGUGGCAAAACGUAUUGAGAGAAAACCGUGUUUGCCAUCUAUGUAAAAAUUGACAAAUUGAUGACGAAUAUCACUAUAUAUUUGAAUGUACUUUUUUCGAUCAAAAACGUACAGAGUAUUUGUCCUCCUAUUUCGUACAACGACAUAAUACAUUUAAAUUCUC